rnacentral:rRNA from 1 species
UACGGAGGGUGCGAGCGUUGUCCGGAAUCACUGGGCGUAAAGGGCGCGUAGGCGGCCUGAUAAGUAGGGGGUGAAAUCCUGCGGCUUAACCGCAGGGCUGCCUUCUAAACUGUCAGGCUUGAGCACAGUAGAGGCAGGUGGAAUUCCCGGUGUAGCGGUGGAAUGCGUAGAGAUCGGGAAGAACAUCAGUGGCGAAGGCGGCACUCUGGGCCGGUACUGACGCUGAGGAGCGAAAGCGUGGGGAGCAAACAGG